CUGAGUACGGCGGAACACGUGAAAUUCCGUCGGAAUCCGGGAGGACCAUCUCCCAAGGCUAAAUACUCCCUAGUGACCGAUAGUGAACCAGUACCGUGAGGGAAAGGUGAAAAGCACCCCGGAAGGGGAGUGAAACAGUUCCUGAAACCGUGUGCCUACAAGUAGUUAGAGCCCGUUAAUGGGUGAUAGCGUGCCUUUUGUAGAAUGAACCGGCGAGUUACGAUUUGUUGCAAGGUUAAGCGGAAAAAGCGGAGCCGUAGCGAAAGCGAGUCUGAAUAGGGCGCAUAAGUAACAGGUCGUAGACCCGAAACCAGGUGAUCUACCCAUGUCCAGGAUGAAGGUAAGGUAAUACUUACUGGAGGUCCGAACCCACGCACGUUGAAAAGUGCGGGGAUGAGGUGUGGGUAGCGGAGAAAUUCCAAUCGAACUUGGAGAUAGCUGGUUCUCUCCGAAAUAGCUUUAGGGCUAGCCUCGAGGUAAAGAGUCAUGGAGGUAGAGCACUGUUUGGACUAGGGGCCCUUCUCGGGUUACCGAAUUCAGAUAAACUCCGAAUGCCAUGUACUUAUACUCGGGAGUCAGACUGCGAGUGAUAAGAUCCGUAGUCGAAAGGGAAACAGCCCAGACCACCAGUUAAGGUCCCCAAAUAUAUGUUAAGUGGAAAAGGAUGUGGGGUUGCUUAGACAACCAGGAUGUUGGCUUAGAAGCAGCCACCAUUGAAAGAGUGCGUAAUAGCUCACUGGUCGAGUGACCCCGCGCCGAAAAUGUACCGGGGCUAAACAUAUUACCGAAACUGUGGAUGAACCUCUUUAGAGGUUCGUGGUAGGAGAGCGUUCUAAGGGCGGUGAAGUCAGACCGGAAGGACUGGUGGAGCGCUUAGAAGUGAGAAUGCCGGUAUGAGUAGCGAAAGAAGGGUGAGAAUCCCUUCCACCGAAUAUCUAAGGUUUCCUGAGGAAGGCUCGUCCGCUCAGGGUUAGUCGGGACCUAAGCCGAGGCCGAUAGGCGUAGGCGAUGGACAACAGGUAGAGAUUCCUGUACCAGUGCUAAUUGUUUAACCGAUGGGGUGACACAGAAGGAUAGGGAAUCGCACGAAUGGAAAUGUGCGUCCAAGCAGUGAGUGUGAGAAGUAGGCAAAUCCGCUUCUCGCGAAGCAUGAGCUGUGAUGGGGAAGGAAAUUAAGUACGGAAGUUCCUGAUUUCACGCUGUCAAGAAAAGCCUCUAGGAAGAGUAGUACUGCCCGUACCGCAAACCGACACAGGUAGAUGAGGAGAGAAUCCUAAGGUGAGCGAGAGAACUCUCGUUAAGGAACUCGGCAAAAUGACCCCGUAACUUCGGGAGAAGGGGUGCUCUAUUAGGGUGCAAGCCCGAGAGAGCCGCAGUGAAUAGGCCCAGGCGACUGUUUAGCAAAAACACAGGUCUCUGCAAAACCGUAAGGUGACGUAUAGGGGCUGACGCCUGCCCGGUGCUGGAAGGUUAAGAGGAGUGCUUAGCUUCGGCGAAGGUACGAAUUGAAGCCCCAGUAAACGGCGGCCGUAACUAUAACGGUCCUAAGGUAGCGAAAUUCCUUGUCGGGUAAGUUCCGACCCGCACGAAAGGCGCAACGAUCUGGGCACUGUCUCAACGAGAGACUCGGUGAAAUUAUAGUACCUGUGAAGAUGCAGGUUACCCGCGACAGGACGGAAAGACCCCGUGGAGCUUUACUGCAACCUGAUAUGGAAUGUUUGUACCGCUUGUACAGGAUAGGUAGGAGCCGAAGAGACGUGUGCGCUAGCAUACGAGGAGGCAAUGGUGGGAUACUACCCUGGCUGUAUGACCAUUCUAACCCGCCACGCUUAGCGCGUGGGGAGACAGUGUCAGGUGGGCAGUUUGACUGGGGCGGUCGCCUCCUAAAGAGUAACGGAGGCGCCCAAAGGUUCCCUCAGAAUGGAUGGAAAUCAUUCGCAGAGUGUAAAGGCACAAGGGAGCUUGACUGCGAGACUGACAAGUCGAGCAGGGACGAAAGUCGGGCUUAGUGAUCCGGUGGUUCCGCAUGGAAGGGCCAUCGCUCAACGGAUAAAAGCUACCCCGGGGAUAACAGGCUUAUCUCCCCCAAGAGUCCACAUCGACGGGGAGGUUUGGCACCUCGAUGUCGGCUCGUCGCAUCCUGGGGCUGUAGUCGGUCCCAAGGGUUGGGCUGUUCGCCCAUUAAAGCGGCACGCGAGCUGGGUUCAGAACGUCGUGAGACAGUUCGGUCCCUAUCCGUCGCGGGCGCAGGAAAUUUGAGAGGAGCUGUCCUUAGUACGAGAGGACCGGGAUGGACACACCGCUGGUGUACCAGUUGUUCCGCCAGGAGCAUCGCUGGGUAGCUAUGUGUGGCAGGGAUAAACGCUGAAAGCAUCUAAGCGUGAAGCCCCCCUCAAGAUGAGAUUUCCCAUUUCUUCGGAAAGUAAGAUCCCUGAAAGAUGAUCAGGUAGAUAGGUUUGGAGUGGAAGUGUAGCGAUACAUGGAG
rnacentral:rRNA from 1 species